rnacentral:rRNA from 1 species
GAUGAACGCUAGCGGGAGGCCUAACACAUGCAAGUCGAACGGGAUUGGGAGCUUGCUCCCAUGAGAGUGGCGCACGGGUGAGUAACGCGUAUGCAACCUACCUUUAACUGAGGGAUAGCCCAUAGAAAUGUGGAUUAAUACCUCAUAGUUCUAUUAGAUCGCAUGAUUUGAUAGAUAAAGCUCCGGCGGUUAAAGAUGGGCAUGCGUGACAUUAGUUUGUUGGUGAGGUAACGGCUCACCAAGACUACGAUGUCUAGGGGUUCUGAGAGGAUGAUCCCCCACACUGGUACUGAGACACGGACCAGACUCCUACGGGAGGCAGCAGUGAGGAAUAUUGGUCAAUGGGCGCAAGCCUGAACCAGCCAUCCCGCGUGAAGGAUGAAGGCCCUAUGGGUCGUAAACUUCUUUUAUACACCAAGAAAAACACCCACGUGUGGGUGCCCGACGGUAGUGUAUGAAUAAGCAUCGGCUAACUCCGUGCCAGCAGCCGCGGUAAUACGGAGGAUGCAAGCGUUAUCCGGAUUCAUUGGGUUUAAAGGGUGCGUAGGCGGCUUUUUAAGUCAGUGGUGAAAUCUUGCCGCUUAACGGUAAAAUUGCCAUUGAUACUGAUAAGCUUGAGUACAAUUGAGGUAGGCGGAAUGUGUAGUGUAGCGGUGAAAUGCUUAGAUAUUAUACAGAACACCGAUUGCGAAGGCAGCUUACUAAACUGUUACUGACGCUGAUGCACGAAAGCGUGGGGAGCGAACAGGAUUAGAUACCCUGGUAGUCCACGCCGUAAACGAUGAUCACUCGCUGUAUGCGAUACACAGUAUGCGGCCAAGCGAAAGCAUUAAGUGAUCCACCUGGGGAGUACGAUCGCAAGGUUG